rnacentral:rRNA from 1 species
AUUGAACGCUGGCGGCAUGCCUUACACAUGCAAGUCGAACGGUAACAGGUUAAGCUGACGAGUGGCGAACGGGUGAGUAAUGUAUCGGAACGUGCCCAGUCGUGGGGGAUAACUGCUCGAAUGAGCAGCUAAUACCGCAUACGACCUGAGGGUGAAAGCGGGGGAUCGCAAGACCUCGCGCGAUUGGAGCGGCCGAUAUCAGAUUAGGUAGUUGGUGAGGUAAAGGCUCACCAAGCCGACGAUCUGUAGCUGGUCUGAGAGGACGACCAGCCACACUGGGACUGAGACACGGCCCAGACUCCUACGGGAGGCAGCAGUGGGGAAUUUUGGACAAUGGGCGCAAGCCUGAUCCAGCCAUGCCGCGUGCGGGAAGAAGGCCUUCGGGUUGUAAACCGCUUUUGUCAGGGAAGAAAAGGUUCUGGCUAAUACCUGGGACUCAUGACGGUACCUGAAGAAUAAGCACCGGCUAACUACGUG